AAGUCGUAACAAGGUUUCCGUAGGUGAACCUGCGGAAGGACCAACGUUAAAUCCCGUGUCUUGUUUUGGUGGAGCGUGAAGAUGACCGAUUUGGGUGGAACUGGGAGUGGUUGAUAUCAAAGCUCGUACGCACUGAAGAUUCGGGCGGACCCCGAACGCCUGUAGGGGUAGGUCACUUGAUUCUGGCCACUGGCCAGUUUCCGGCGGGGCUCAUCUUUAUUACGGUGAAGUUCUUUGGGUGUCCAGAUCGUUUUCUCGGGUAACACGAUCUGUUUCUCCAGAUCGCUUCGCGCUUUGCUCUUUUUUGAAGUGAACUCAUGCUGCGUCGACCAUUCCUGAUACCUUGACAGGACCACGUGCCAUAACCCGGUGUGGCGUGUACAGAAACCCGAACAACUGUUAACAAUGGAUAUCUUGGUUCUC
rnacentral:misc_RNA from 1 species